rnacentral:rRNA from 1 species
AUUGAACGCUGGCGUCAUGCCUUACACAUGCAAGUCGAACGGCAGCACGGGUGCUUGCACCUGGUGGCGAGUGGCGAACGGGUGAGUAAUACAUCGGAACAUGUCCUGUAGUGGGGGAUAGCCCGGCGAAAGCCGGAUUAAUACCGCAUACGAUCUACGGAUGAAAGCGGGGGACCUUCGGGCCUCGCGCUAUAGGGUUGGCCGAUGGCUGAUUAGCUAGUUGGUGGGGUAAAGGCCUACCAAGGCGACGAUCAGUAGCUGGUCUGAGAGGACGACCAGCCACACUGGGACUGAGACACGGCCCAGACUCCUACGGGAGGCAGCAGUGGGGAAUUUUGGACAAUGGGCGAAAGCCUGAUCCAGCAAUGCCGCGUGUGUGAAGAAGGCCUUCGGGUUGUAAAGCACUUUUGUCCGGAAAGAAAUCCUUGGCCCUAAUACGGUCGGGGGAUGACGGUACCGGAAGAAUAAGCACCGGCUAACUACGUG